rnacentral:rRNA from 1 species
AACUGUUGCCUACGGCGGGAUCUCUGCCCCGGGUGCGUCGCAGCCCCGGACCAAGGCGCCCGCCGGAGGACCAACCAAAACUCUUAUUGUAUACCCCCUCGCGGGUUUUUUUAUAAUCUGAGCCUUCUCGGCGCCUCUCGUAGGCGUUUCGAAAAUGAAUCAAAACUUUCAACAACGGAUCUCUUGGUUCUGGCAUCGAUGAAGAACGCAGCGAAAUGCGAUAAGUAAUGUGAAUUGCAGAAUUCAGUGAAUCAUCGAAUCUUUGAACGCACAUUGCGCCCGCCAGUAUUCUGGCGGGCAUGCCUGUCCGAGCGUCAUUUCAACCCUCGAACCCCUCCGGGGGGUCGGCGUUGGGGAUCGGCCCUGCCUUGGCGGUGGCCGUCUCCGAAAUACAGUGGCGGUCUCGCCGCAGCCUCUCCUGCGCAGUAGUUUGCACACUCGCAUCGGGAGCGCGGCGCGUCCACAGCCGUUAAACACCCAACUUCUGAAAUGUUGACCUCGGAUCANGUANGAAUACCCGCUGAACUUAAGCAUAUCAAUAAGCG